rnacentral:tRNA from 1 species
GCAAGUAUAGUUUAACCCAAACAUUAGACUGUGAUCCUAAAAAUAGAAGUUUGACCCUUCUUACCUGCC